rnacentral:rRNA from 1 species
AACGAACGCUGGCGGCAGGCCUAACACAUGCAAGUCGAACGCUCCGCAAGGGGAGUGGCGCACGGGUGAGUAACACGUGGGAACCUACCUUCUGGUACGGAACAACCAAGGGAAACUUUGGCUAAGACCGUAUACGACCUCCGGGUGAAAGAUUGAUCGCCGGAAGAGGGGCCCGCGUCCGAUUAGGUAGUUGGUGAGGUAACGGCUCACCAAGCCUUCGAUCGGUAGCUGGUCUGAGAGGANGACCAGCCACACUGGGACUGAGACACGGCCCAGACUCCUACGGGAGGCAGCAGUGGGGAAUAUUGGACAAUGGGCGCAAGCCUGAUCCAGCCAUGCCGCGUGAGUGAUGAAGGCCUUC